GGCAAGAUUAAAGAAAAAGCAAUAGUUUUAUUAUUUUUACCCUGUUAUGUCUGUUUCCUCAGUAUUUGCUGGAGCUGUGCUUACCCAAGGUUUGGGUAAAACAAGCUUUGGGUUCCCUCUGUCUCACUGGGAGUUGCCCAAUUCAGUUGCAUCUGGUGAAAUUCACCCUGAGACCUUACAGAACCAGCUCCAACUACGUGAGAGCCAUUUGCAGUUCUCUCCAGACGCCUGGAGAAUGGGUGACGUUUCUGAGGAUCCGGCGAGCGUGCUUCUAUCAAAACUCAGUCUGUGAAAUUUCUGGGGAAAACCCUUCUGUGUCCUGAAGGGUUCAAACUCUGGUGAGGAUCCAGUUAUCAGGUGCUCACCUGGAUGGUUCCAGCUCCCAAAGGGAAAGACUCUCGUAUCCUUGUCGUCGGGCUCGGUGCUGUCCAAGAAGAUACAGAGACUAAAAAAAUCAUAAGAAGCAAAAUAUGACUGCAGGGAAAAGAAGCUGGAGAGAACAGAAGACAUUGCUCCACUCCCCAGAGGAUUAUUGUGAGCAGAUGUGAGCUCUGCUGUCCCUUUGGACUGACAAAGACAGAGGUUUUGUCCCAAGUUGCUUUUGAACCUGUCCUGCACCUGUUACGAGUCCUCAGUCUCCUGCAAUUUUGUGGGUCAGUGACAUGUAAAACAGCACAGCUGGCUGGCAUGCUUUGCUCAUGAGGGGAGACAAGAGAAGAAUCCCUCUGCUCACACCAGACCUGCAGCUGCCAAACCUCACCAAAGCACCUGAGGAGCCCCCAGGGACUGAUGGUACAGAAGGGAGGUGAUGGAGGACAGCACAGCAGGCAGCCUGCCCUCCAUCUGGGUGUGAAGAAGGCAGGGCUGGGAACUGUAAGCAACAUCCCAGCAGGUCUGGCUGAUGGUGCCACCCUGAGGGCUUCCCCUGCCUUUGGGCAGUCCCAGCUGCUGCAGCUCACUUGACAGAGACUCAUUGUCUAUACUGUGCUUGGCUGCACUGGAGAUGAUGAAGCCGAGGACAGCAAUGGUUGCCUUCACAUCCCCUGACUGCAGAUGGGAAGGAGGGGCGAGCUCUGUCACCUUGGGAAGGCGUCUGCAGAGUCACUGCUGCCCGUCUCUGGAGCGUGGCUCCAUUGGGGGACCGUGGUAAGGACAGCAGUGCUCACUUAACUGUGCACCUGAGGACAGCUUCAGGAUCUUGUCAUACUGUGGGAGAGCAGAGCUUCACAGUAAAC